rnacentral:tRNA from 1 species
GGUGUGGUUCAGUGACAGAGCACUUGCCUAGCAUGCAUGAGGCUCUGGAUUCAAUCCCCAGCACC